rnacentral:misc_RNA from 1 species
AUUUGUAUACAUGAAGUCUUGACGAGACACAUACAGCAUUAAGCAGAGAAUAGGCUUCUUUGUCUUACAUCUUCCAAAUUUCAAUCUCGUCAAGACUUCAUGUAUACAAAUUUAAGUUCUGAUGCCAAUCAUGAUCAUGAAACUAAAAUGAAUAAUUAAACUUGCCAGUAGGCAAGAGAGGCCAGAAGGAUGGAGGGCAUGGGAAGGGGAGUUGAAUG